GUAGCUCCUUCGGUGUCAUCCCAGUGCUUGACACUGGGAUCCAGAAAUGUUGGAUACAUAAGGUAAUGCUAAGUUGAUGAGAUUAGGAAAAGAGUGGAUCCCAGUGUCAAGCACUGGGAUGACAGAAAAAUAGACGCU
rnacentral:ncRNA from 1 species